GCAUGCUUAACUCAGUGGACAGAGUUCUUCGCUACGAACGAAGUGGUCACAGGUUCGAAUCCUGUAGUGUGCU
rnacentral:tRNA from 1 species